UACGUAGGGGGCAAGCGUUAUCCGGAUUUACUGGGUGUAAAGGGAGCGUAGACGGCGAUGCAAGCCGGAUGUGAAAGCCCGGGGCUCAACCCCGGGACUGCAUUUGGAACUGUAUAGCUAGAGUGUCGGAGAGGCAGGCGGAAUUCCUAGUGUAGCGGUGAAAUGCGUAGAUAUUAGGAGGAACACCAGUGGCGAAGGCGGCCUGCUGGACGAUGACUGACGUUGAGGCUCGAAAGCGUGGGGAGCAAACAGG
rnacentral:rRNA from 1 species